GCAUGCUUGAUCCAUCACUGUUUCUCUGGCAUGUGGUACAAAGUCAGGUAUUGUUCCAGGGCUUUUUGGAAAUGAAGAUGGUGAGAAAGAGUGGGAACAAGCAGUGACUGACAGGUUGGGGACACGCCUGGCUGAGGGGCACUCCUGGCUCCUGGCAGAAGCAGAAUGGAAUGAGGUGAGGGUGGAGA